CACUUGUGACCUUGCGCUAAUAGAUGAGCUAAGUCGGAUUAGCUAGUUGGUGGGGUAAAGGCCUACCAAGGCGACGAUCUGUAGCGGGUCUGAGAGGAUGAUCCGCCACACUGGGACUGAGACACGGCCCAGACUCCUACGGGAGGCAGCAGUGGGGAAUAUUGGACAAUGGGGGGAACCCUGAUCCAGCCAUGCCGCGUGUGUGAAGAAGGCCUUUUGGUUGUAAAGCACUUUAAGCGAGGAGGAGGCUACUCUAGUUAAUACCUAGAGAUAGUGGACGUUACUCGCAGAAUAAGCACCGGCUAACUCUGUGCCAGCAGCCGCGGUAAUACAGAGGGUGCGAGCGUUAAUCGGAUUUACUGGGCGCAAAGCGUGCGUAGGUGGCCAAUUAAGUCAAAUGUGAAAUCCCCGAGCUUAACUUGGGAAUUGCAUUCGAUACUGGUUGGCUAGAGUAUGGGAGAGGAUGGUAGAAUUCCAGGUGUAGCGGUGAAAUGCGUAGAGAUCUGGAGGAAUACCGAUGGCGAAGGCAGCCAUCUGGCCUAAUACUGACACUGAGGUACGAAAGCAUGGGGAGCAAACAGGAUUAGAUACCCUGGUAGUCCAUGCCGUAAACGAUGUCUACUAGCCGUUGGGGCCUUUGAGGCUUUAUGUGGCGCAGCUAACGCGAUAAGUAGACCGCCUGGGGAGUACGGUCG
rnacentral:rRNA from 1 species